rnacentral:rRNA from 1 species
UACGAAGGGUGCAAGCGUUACUCGGAAUUACUGGGCGUAAAGCGUGCGUAGGUGGUUCGUUAAGUCUGAUGUGAAAGCCCUGGGCUCAACCUGGGAAUGGCAUUGGAAACUGGCGACCUAGAGUGCGGUAGAGGGUAGUGGAAUUCCCGGUGUAGCAGUGAAAUGCGUAGAGAUCGGGAGGAACAUCCGCGGCGAAGGCGACUACCUGGACCAGCACUGACACUGAGGCACGAAAGCGUGGGGAGCAAACAGG